rnacentral:rRNA from 1 species
UACGUAGGGUGCAAGCGUUGUCCGGAAUUAUUGGGCGUAAAGGGCUCGUAGGCGGUCUGUCACGUCGGGAGUGAAAACUCGGGGCUUAACCCCGAGCCUGCUUCCGAUACGGGCAGACUAGAGGUAUGCAGGGGAGAAUGGAAUUCCUGGUGUAGCGGUGAAAUGCGCAGAUAUCAGGAGGAACACCGGUGGCGAAGGCGGUUCUCUGGGCCUUACCUGACACUGAGGAGCGAAAGCGUGGGGAGCGAACAGG